CCCGCCCCGUCGCAGCUGUCAAACGGCUGCGGUAUCAUGACCGUACGAAGGUAGCAUAAUAAGUAGUCUUUUAAUUGGGGACUGGAAUGAACGGUAUCAUAAGAAAAAGACUCUUUCAGCCGUAGAAAGUGUAGAUUAUGAUUAUCAAUGUAAAAAGGCCAGGAUAUAUAAAAGUGACAAGAAGACCCUAGGAGUUUUACACUUGUAAUUUCACUUUAGGCGAGUACAGCUGUAGAUUAAGUAAUUGAAGGGUGUCCUAACGUGGGGCGGUUAGACAAUACUAAUCUAUUAUUGGUGUGUACCUAUAAGAGUAGGAGUAUCUUUAUUUUUAAUCCUUGUUGGAGUGAGAGAAGAAUUACCUUAGGGAUAACAGCAUAAUCUUUUCUGAGAGAUCUUAUUGACAGGGGGGUUUGUGACCUCGGAUGUNGGAUUUGAAGUGCUAUGUGGAGCUGACAUUUAGCC
rnacentral:rRNA from 1 species